GGUCAAGUUAUUAAGGGUGCAGGGCGGAUGCCUUGGCACUAGGAGCCGAUGAAGGACGUGAUAAGCUGCGAUAAGCUUCGGGGAGUUGCACGUAAACUUUGAUCCGAAGAUUUCCGAAUGAGGAAACUCACUUAGAGUAAUGUCUAAGUAUCAUUAAGUGAAUACAUAGCUUAAUGAGGGGAACUCAGGGAACUGAAACAUCUAAGUACCUGAAGGAAGAGAAAGAAAUUCGAUUCCGUAAGUAGCGGCGAGCGAACGCGGAUUAGCCCAAACCAAUAAAGUUUUCUUUAUUGGGGUUGCGGACAUAUCAUAACGAAGAGGUAUCGUAAUUGAAGAGGUUUGGAAAGACCCACCACAGAAGGUAAUAGUCCUGUAUGUUAAACGAGAAGACUUCAGAUAUGAUCCAGAGUACCACGGGACACGUGAAACCCUGUGGGAAGCAGGAGGGACCACCCUCCAAGGCUAAAUACUACCUAGUGACCGAUAGCGUAUAGUACCGUGAGGGAAAGGUGAAAAGAACCCCGGGAGGGGAGUGAAAUAGAACCUGAAACCCUGCACUUACAAGCUGUGGAAGCACAUUUCUUGUGUGACCGCGUACUUUUUGUAGAACGGGCCAACGAGUUACGUUAAGUAGCAAGGUUAAGCACUUAAGGUGCGGAGCCGUAGCGAAAGCGAGUUUUAACUGAGCGUUCAGUUACUUGACGUAGACCCGAAACCGGGCGACCUACCCAUGAGCAGGAUGAAGCGAAAGUAAAAUUUCGUGGAGGUCCGAACCCACGAGCGUUGAAAAGCUCGGGGAUGACUUGUGGGUAGCGGUGAAAUUCCAAUCGAGCCCGGAGAUAGCUGGUUCUCCCCGAAAUAGCUUUAGGGCUAGCCUCAAGGUGAGAGAUACGGAGGUAGAGCACUGAAUGUCCUAGGGGGUAUUGCACCUACCGAAGACUAUCAAACUCCGAAUGCCGUCAUCUUAUACUUGGGAGUCAGACUGUGGGUGAUAAGAUUCAUAGUCGAAAGGGCAACAGCCCAGAUCGUCAGCUAAGGUCCCUAAAUGUAAGUUAAGUGGUAAAGGAUGUGGGAUUGCACAGACAACCAGGAUGUUGGCUUAGAAGCAGCCACUCAUUCAAAGAGUGCGUAAUAGCUCACUGGUCGAGUGAUCCUGCGCCGAAGAUUUCCGGGGCUAAAACUUACUACCGAAGCUACGGCAUCAGUAAUGAUGGGUAGGGGAGCUUCCCAUACGGGUUGAAGCAUGACCGUAAGGACAUGUGGACAGUAUGGGAGUGAGAAUGUUGGCAUGAGUAGCGAGAUGUGGGUGAGAAUCCCACAGGCCGUAAACCCAAGGUUUCCAGGGGAAGGUUCGUCCGCCCUGGGUUAGUCGGGACCUAAGCUGAGGCCGAAAGGCGUAGGUGAUGGACAACAGGUUGAUAUUCCUGUACUACCGAUAACCGUUUGAGAGAAGGGAUGACACAGUAGGAUAAGCUAAGCACACUGUUGGUUAUGUGUGCCCAAGCAUUGAGGCAGUCAAAGUAGGCAAAUCCGCUUUGAUAAUGCUGGGAUGUGAUGGGGAGCGAAAUUUAGUAGCGAAGUAGCUGAUUUCACACUGUCAAGAAAAGUCUCUAUCGAGGUUAAAGGUACCCGUACCGCAAACCGACACAGGUGGGUGAGGAGAGUAUCCUAAGGCCAGCGAGAGAACUGUUGUUAAGGAACUCGGCAAAAUGACCCCGUAACUUAGGGAUAAGGGGUGCCACCAUCAGGUGGCCGCAGAGAAUAGGCCCAAGCGACUGUUUACCAAAAACAUAGGUUUCUGCUAAGUCGCAAGACGAUGUAUAGGAGCUGACGCCUGCCCGGUGCUGGAAGGUUAAGGGGAUCUGUUAGAGCAAUCGAAGCAGUGAACUUAAGCCCCAGUAAACGGCGGCCGUAACUAUAACGGUCCUAAGGUAGCGAAAUUCCUUGUCGGGUAAGUUCCGACCCGCACGAAAGGCGUAACGAUUUGGGCACUGUCUCAACAACAGACUCGGUGAAAUUGUAAUUCCGGUGAAGAUGCCGGAUACCUGCGACAGGACGGAAAGACCCCAUGGAGCUUUACUGUAGCUUGACAUUGGGUCUUGGUACUACAUGUACAGGAUAGGUGGGAGGCUUUGAAACCAGGACGCCAGUUUUGGCGGAGCCAUCCUUGGGAUACCACCCUUGUAGUACUGGGACUCUAACCAUAGGCCAUGAAUCUGGUCUUGGGACACUGUCAGGUGGGCAGUUUGACUGGGGCGGUCGCCUCCCAAAAGGUAACGG
rnacentral:rRNA from 1 species